AACAGGAUUAGAUACCCUGGUAGUCCACGCCGUAAACGAUGUCUACUAGUCGUUGGGUCCCUUGAGGACUUAGUGACGCAGCUAACGCAAUAAGUAGACCGCCUGGGGAGUACGGCCGCAAGGUUAAAACUCAAAUGAAUUGACGGGGGCCCGCACAAGCGGUGGAGCAUGUGGUUUAAUUCGAUGCAACGCGAAGAACCUUACCUGGUCUUGACAUAUCUAGAAUCCUGCAGAGAUGCGGGAGUGCCUUCGGGAAUUAGAAUACAGGUGCUGCAUGGCUGUCGUCAGCUCGUGUCGUGAGAUGUUGGGUUAAGUCCCGCAACGAGCGCAACCCUUGUCCUUAGUUACCAGCGGGUUAAGCCGGGAACUCUAAGGAUACUGCCAGUGACAAACUGGAGGAAGGCGGGGACGACGUCAAGUCAUCAUGGCCCUUACGACCAGGGCUACACACGUGCUACAAUGGUAGGUACAGAGGGCAGCUACACAGCGAUGUGAUGCGAAUCUCAAAAAGCCUAUCGUAGUCCAGAUUGGAGUCUGCAACUCGACUCCAUGAAGUAGGAAUCGCUAGUAAUCGCGGAUCAGAAUGCCGCGGUGAAUACGUUCCCGGGCCUUGUACACACCGCCCGUCACACCAUGGGAGUUGAUUGCACCAGAAGUGGAUAGCUUAACCUUCGGGGGAGCGUUCACCACGGUGUGGUUGAUGACUGGGGUGAAGUCGUAACAAGGUAACC
rnacentral:rRNA from 1 species